rnacentral:rRNA from 1 species
UACAGAGGGUGCAAGCGUUGUUCGGAAUUAUUGGGCGUAAAGGGCGCGUAGGCGGUGCGGUAAGUCACCUGUGAAAUCUCCGGGCUUAACUCGGAGCCUGCAGGCGAAACUACCGUGCUGGAGUAUGGGAGAGGUGCGUGGAAUUCCCGGUGUAGCGGUGAAAUGCGUUGAUAUCAGAAGGAACGCCGGUGGCGAAAGCGCUCGACUGGACCUCUUCUGACGCUGAGGCGCGAAAGCUAGGGGAGCAAACGGG